CGGCCCGCAGCGCCACACUGGAACGCCUCGCUUAAAGUAACAGGCUCCCGGGUGACAACCCCUCGCAGAAGUGUUCUAGAGUUGCUCUUCUACAAAUGCUCCAUCUCCGAUUGUAGUUUGUCUCAGUGGCCACGGGUAGAAUAUCAAGCCAUACGUGAAGCGAAAAAAGAAGAAGAAGAAGAAGAAGAAAGAAAAAAAAAAGAGUUACUAGCUUCCUCUAGAAACACAGACAACCUUUAAAAAGGAAACGGAUAAGAUCUAGACGAUAUACGAAAAUGAAAGAUGGGUGUGACUUUUGUUUCGUUAAAGUUCUUGUACCUCUCUGGCUCUUAACUCCUUUUUUGAACUGGUUUGGGGUGGUGGCUGUUUUCCAGAGUUUAUCUUUUGUUCACCAUCUUUUUUUCUCCAGAUUGCCAACUUCUUUUCUCCCUGUGUUUUUUGUCUCUCUUCCUCUUUCUGACUCAACUUUAUUGCUUUCUUCUUUUCCUCUCGCCGGGAGACCAUGAAAGCACAACUCGGCCCUUGCAUUGAACACUUGAGAAUAACGGGAAGGAGGUUUCCUGGAGCGUCCCAGGUUCUCCAUGACCACGUUCAGUUUUUCCCACUGCUCACAAAGUAGAUGAUGGGGAUUAGACAGGAC
ensembl:antisense Gm12631 predicted gene 12631